UGGGGAAUAUUGGACAAUGGGGGGAACCCUGAUCCAGCCAUGCCGCGUGUGUGAAGAAGGCCUUAUGGUUGUAAAGCACUUUAAGCGAGGAGGAGGGUACUGGUAUUAAUACUACCAGCUACUGGACGUUACUCGCAGAAUAAGCACCGGCUAACUCUGUGCCAGCAGCCGCGGUAAUACAGAGGGUGCGAGCGUUAAUCGGAUUUACUGGGCGUAAAGCGUGCGUAGGCGGCUAAUUGAGUCGGAUGUGAAAUCCCCGAGCUUAACUUGGGAAUUGCAUUCGAUACUGGUUAGCUAGAGUGUGGGAGAGGAUGGUAGAAUUCCAGGUGUAGCGGAGAAAUGCGUAGAGAUCUGGAGGAAUACCGAUGGCGAAGGCAGCCAUCUGGCCUAACACUGACGCUGAGGUACGAAAGCGUGGGGAGCAAACAGG
rnacentral:rRNA from 1 species